ACGGCGUGCUUUUUGUAGAACGAUCCAGCGAGUUAAUUUCGUGCGCAAGGUUAAGUUAGUUAACGGAGCCACAGUGAAAGCGAGCCUGAAUAGGGCGUUUAGUGUACGGAAUUAGACCCGAAACCGGGUGACCUAACCAUGAGCAGGUUGAAGCUACUGUAACAGGUAGUGAAGGACCGAACCAGGAUACGCAGCAAAGUGUUUGGAUGACUUGUGGUUAGCGGUGAAAUGCCAAUCGAACUCGGAGAUAGCUGGUUCUCCUCGAAAUAGCUUUAGGGCUAGCGUCAUGUUAGUAAUGUAUGGGGGUAGAGCUCUGUAAAGGAUUGGGGCGGGCAACUGUACCCACCCUUAACAAACUACGAAUACCAUAUAUGUAAUCAUGGCAGUUAGAACAUCGGUGCUAAGAUCGGUGCUCAAAAGGGAAACAGCCCAGACCAUCAUCUAAGGUCCCUAAAUAUACAUUAAGUGGGAAACAAGGUGAAAUUUCUUAAACAGCGAGGAUGUUGGCUUAGAAGCAGCCAUUCAUUUAAAGAGUGCGUAACAGCUCACUCGUCAAGAGAUUUUGCGUGGAAAAUGUAACGGGGCUAAAUGUAUUACCGAAGAUAUGGAUUAUUACAUUAGUAAUAGUGGUAGAGGAGCGUUCCUAUCAGCAGUGAAGCAGUAUUGAAAAGUAUUGUGGAGCGGUAGGAAGUGAGAAUGCUGGAAUGAGUAACCAUAAGAUAGGUGAGAAUCCUGUCGGCCGUAAGAGCAAGGUUUCCUGAGCUAUGGUAAUCAUCUCAGGGUUAGUCGGGCCUAAGCCGAGGCGCAGAGCAUAGGCGAUGGACAUCAGGUUAAUAUUCCUGAACCGGUUAAGUUUUGUACACUGUUCACGGGGAAGUAAUCGAAGCGGAUUCAUGGUUUAUCCGUCCAACCGAGCGGGAACGCAAAGGGAGUGAAAGUGAUUCUUCGGAGUCGCGAUUUUGGUGAAAGCCCUGGCUAGAAAAGCAGGUGUACGCGUGGACUUAGCCGCCCGUACCGCAAACCAACACAGGUGCUCGAGUCGAGUAGACUCAGGCUUACGAGUGAACCUUCGCUAAGGAACUCGGCAAUACAGCGACCGUAACUUCGGGAUAAGGUCUGCCCCCACUUCGGUGGAUAUUAGCCGCGUUCACUCAGUGAAUAAUAGGUUAAAGAGUACAUUUUUAAUCACAAAACGAAUUUUCUGAGACACGAGCAAACAAAUUGCUCUUUGAACGCGAACCUCUUGUAUCUAACGAUGUGGGGGCCGCAGCAAAAGAGCCCACGGAACUGUUUAUCAAAAACACAGGUCUCUGCUAACACGAAAGUGGAUGUAUAGGGGCUGACUCCUGCCCGGUGCCGGAAGGUUAAGGGGAGUGCUUCACGGUGCAAACUGAAGCCCCGGUGAACGGCGGCGGUAACUAUAACCGUCCUAAGGUAGCGAAAUUCCUUGUCAGGUAAGUUCUGACCCGCACGAAUGGAGUAAUCAUGUGGGCACUGUCUCAGCGAAGGACUCGGUGAAAGUGCAUUGGCGGUAAAGAUGCCGUCUGUCCGUACCAGGACGAAAAGACCCCAUGGAGCUUUACUACAGCUUUACAUUGAAUACGGUUUCAACAUGUGUAGCAUAGGUGGGAGAUAUUGAAGCAGAUACGCCAGUAUUUGUGGAGUCACCAAGUGAAAUACCACCCUUGUUGUGAUUGUGUUCUCACGCUGACCGUUAUCCGGUUAGCGGACCGUGUAUGGUGGGUAGUUUAACUGGGGCGGUUGCCUCCUAAAGAGUAGCGG
rnacentral:rRNA from 1 species